UGGGGGAUAUUGCACAAUGGGGGAAACCCUGAUGCAGCGACGCCGCGUGAGGGAAGACGGUUUUCGGAUUGUAAACCUCUGUCUUUGGGGACGAAUUGAGACGGUACCCAAGGAGGAAGCUCCGGCUAACUACGUGCCAGCAGCCGCGGUAAUACGUAGGGAGCAAGCGUUGUCCGGAAUUACUGGGUGUAAAGGGAGCGUAGGCGGGAUAGUAAGUUGAUUGUUAAAACUAUCGGCUCAACUGGUAGAUGCGAUCAAAACUGCAAUUCUUGAGUGAAGUAGAGGCAGGCGGAAUUCCUAGUG
rnacentral:rRNA from 1 species